UACGUAGGGGGCUAGCGUUGUCCGGAAUCAUUGGGCGUAAAGCGCGUGUAGGCGGCCCGGUAAGUCCGCUGUGAAAGUCGGGGGCUCAACCCUCGAAAGCCGGUGGAUACUGUCGGGCUCGAGUACGGGAGAGGCGAGUGGAAUUCCUGGUGUAGCGGUGAAAUGCGCAGAUAUCAGGAGGAACACCGGUGGCGAAGGCGGGUCUCUGGGCCGAUACUGACGCUGAGGAGCGAAAGCGUGGGGAGCGAACAGG
rnacentral:rRNA from 1 species